AGAGUUUGAUCCUGGCUCAGGAUGAACGCUAGCGGCAGGCUUAACACAUGCAAGUCGAGGGGCAGCGGGAGUAGCAAUACUUGCCGGCGACCGGCGCAAGGGUGCGUAACGCGUGAGCAACAUGCCCGUAUCAGGGGGAUAAUCCAGGGAAACUUGGUCUAAUACCCCAUAGUAAUCUUAGGAGGCAUCUUUUAAGAUUUAAAGCUUUGGUGGAUACGGAUUGGCUCGCGUGACAUUAGCUAGAUGGUAGGGUAACGGCCUACCAUGGCUACGAUGUCUAGGGGUUCUGAGAGGAAGAUCCCCCACACUGGAACUGAGACACGGUCCAGACUCCUACGGGAGGCAGCAGUGAGGAAUAUUGGACAAUGGAUGGAAAUCUGAUCCAGCCAUGCCGCGUGCAGGAUGACGGCCCUAUGGGUUGUAAACUGCUUUUGUAUGGGAGCAAUAAGCCCUUCGUGAAGGGUGAUGAGAGUACCAUACGAAUAAGCAUCGGCUAACUCCGUGCCAGCAGCCGCGGUAAUACGGAGGAUGCGAGCGUUAUCCGGAUUUAUUGGGUUUAAAGGGUGCGUAGGCGGUUGGAUAAGUCAGCGGUGAAAGUUUUCUGCUUAACAGGAAAAAUGCCGUUGAUACUGUCUGGCUAGAAUAUGGUUGCUGUGAGUGGAAUGUGUGGUGUAGCGGUGAAAUGCUUAGAUAUCACACAGAAUAUCGAUUGCGAAGGCAGCUCACAAAGCCAUUAUUGACGCUGAGGCACGAAAGUGUGGGGAUCAAACAGGAUUAGAUACCCUGUGAGUCCACACUGUAAACGAUGAUAACUCGCUGUCGGCGAUACACAGUCGGUGGCCAAGCGAAAGCGAUAAGUUAUCCACCUGGGGAGUACGACCGCAAGGUUGAAACUCAAAGGAAUUGACGGGGGCCCGCACAAGCGGAGGAACAUGUGGUUUAAUUCGAUGAUACGCGAGGAACCUUACCCGGGCUCGAACGGCUUUAGAAUA
rnacentral:rRNA from 1 species